rnacentral:lncRNA from 1 species
UUUGAAAGUGGAGGGAAGAGAAUUGUAGAGGGAAUAAAAAUCAUAAGAUUGUCUAUUGGGUAUCUAAAUAUUAAAAAAAAAAGAAAAAAGAAUUGAUUGGAGACUGAGACUGUCAAAGUAUUAGAUUAAGGACUUACUUGUUAUAUUUUCAAAUAGUUUGGUGACUUCAUCUGUAAUAUAAUGUCUUCAAUUAUACUUUCAGCUUUUUAACUUGUUGCAAUACCCAAUAUAUUGGAUUGAUAGAGGUGACUUUUGACUGUGAUUUGUACUAAUUGGAUUGGCGAUGGCUGCUCGGAGAAUCUCAUCUCUUCUCUCUCGCUCGCUUCCUUUGCUACCUCGAAGAGGUAUAUGGAUAAAACUAUUGUCUAUGUAAAUACUUAUCUGUGAUUAUUCUGAGAAAAUCUUGGUCUUCUUUAUUGUCUGGAGUGUUCUUUGGUUGGUUUAAGUCAGUAACUUGUUGGUUUAGGAGCUUUUUUUUAAGUUUUUAGUUUUCUAGUCUUGUAGACUAUACUUGAUUAAAAUUGCCUGAGCUUUUGAGUGUCUGAAAAUGGUGGAUGUGUUUUCACUUUGUUGGAAAUUGUUUUGGUGUUUAAUAGCAGUUAAAUGAUACGUGAUAUGCAGAUUACUGAGACCAUCUCUAGCACUGUAUCAAAAUUUGCACCAAACCAAAAUUUAUCUAUUAUUUUAUUC